GACGAACGCUGGCGGCGUGCCUAAUACAUGCAAGUCGAACGCAGUGGGGACGGGUGAGUAACACGUGGGUAACCUCCCAUCAGAGGGGAUAACACUUGGAAACAGGUACCAAACCCAUACUGAUGGAUGAACCCGCGGUGCAUUGGCUAGUUGGUGGGGUAACGGCUCACCAAGGCCAGGAUGCAUAGCCGACCUGAGAGGGUGAUCGGCCACACUGGGACUGAGACAAGGCACAGACUCCUACGGGAGGCAGAAGUAGGGAAUGUUAGGCAAUGGACGAAAGUCUGACCGAGCCACGCCGCGUGAGUGAAGAAGGUUUUCGGAUUGUAGAACUCUGUUGUUAGAGAAGCGGUAUCUAACCAGAAAGCCACGGCUAACUACGGGCCAGCCGCCGCGGUAAUUC
rnacentral:rRNA from 1 species